AGUUCCUACGGGACGCAGCAGUGAGGAAUAUUGGUCAAUGGCCGGAAGGCUGAACCAGCCAAGCCGCGUGAAGGACGAAGGUGCCAAGCAUUGUAAACUUCUUUUGUCAAGGGACAAAAUCAGGCUCGAGAGCCUGACCGAGGGUACUUGAAGAAAAAGCAUCGGCUAACUCCGUGCCAGCAGCCGCGGUAAUACGGGGGAUGCGCGCGUUAUCCGGAUUUAUUGGGUUUAAAGGGUGCGUAGGCGGACUGUUAAGUCAGCGGUAAAAGCCCGGGGCUCAACCCCGUCGAGCCGUUGAAACUGGG
rnacentral:rRNA from 1 species